UCGGACCUUGUCCAUUCAGUGUGGACGGUGUGGGCGCCUCCUCGAUGCAAGUUUUUUGCUUGGCUUGUUCUUCAAGAUAGGAUUUGGACUUUGGACCGCUUGAGCCGUCGUGGUUGGCCUAACUGCGGACUAUGUCCUCUUUGCAAGCAAACCCAAGAAACCACGGCUCAUCUGCUUUUCCAGUGUCGCUACACCAUGCGCAUUUGGAAUGACGUCCUCCCGUGGCUUGGCAUGCAUCACAGCACCACGUCUACUUGGGUGACGAGGGCUUCGGUCAGAGAAUGGUGGAAUGGAAACCUUCAGCUCCGUCUUGACUCGCCCAAGGCGCUUGCCUCUCUUAUGAUGCUCAUCUCUUGGGAGGUUUGGUCGGAGUGUAAUGCUAGAGUCUUCCGCAACUCGGCGGCCCCUUUCAUGGUCAUCAUCAACAAAAUCAAACAGGAGGUGUUACUUUGGGCUAUGGCCGGAGCGAAACAUUUGGGUGUUAGUAGGCCUCCUAUUUGCCGUUUUGCGGUUUCUGUCUAG
rnacentral:rRNA from 1 species